CUGUUCGGCUGUUAUCCUUGAUAUCUCACAGUUGGCACAAGGGGUUGCUCUACAAGAUCAAAAGGCAUCUUCCACGUCCGUACUUCUGCAUUUGCCAAUCAUACCUGACUGUUCCUCAAGGACGCGUGGUUGGACCACUCUUAUACCUGAUCUUCACAGUAGACCUGCCAACUCUAGCAUAGACAUCAUCCAGAGAUUCCAUUCAAAGACGUUGAGGCAAUUGACCAGUUCUCUCUGAUUAAUCACCAAUGACUCUAUCCAUCAGUCCAAUGUUAUUGUCUACAAGCAUAGACAUCAUCGAAAGAUUCCAGUCAAAGACGUUGAGGCAAUUGAACAGUUCUCUCUGAUUCAUCACCAAUGACUCUAUCCACCAGUCCAAUGGUAUUGACUUUGUUAAAGAAGAUAUUUCAAAAGCCAGCAAAAGAUAUAGUCUUCAUCUGGAGGAUCAUCCAAAUCAACUUGCUGUAGAGCUGAC